GACGAACGCUGGAGGCGUGCUUAACACAUGCAAGUCGAGCGGAGAGGCGAACGGGGGAGGAACGCGUGAGUAACUGCCCCCCUCUCUGGGAUAACAGUUGGAAACGGCUGCUAAUACCGGAUAGUGGGGGAUGACUCGCGUCCUAUCAGCUUGUUGGUGGGGUAGUGGCCAACCAAGGAGCCGACGGAUAGACGGCCUGAGAGGGCGACGGGCCACAAUGUGCUGAGGUACGGCCCAAACUCCUACGGUAGGCAGCAGUGUGUAAUAUUGCACAACGGGCGAAACCCUGAUGCAGCACCGCCGCGUGCGGGAUGACGUCCUUCUGUUUGUAAACCGCUUUCAGCCAGGACGCGUUAGUUGCAGAAGAAGCACCGGCUCACUACGUGCCAGCAGCCGCGGUAAUAC
rnacentral:rRNA from 1 species